UCCAGGAGUGAUAGCCUCUGAUUGCUGAAGACAGGUGGUCCUGGAAAUAUAAUAAUGACAGUUGUCAUGCACAUUUCAAUAACUGCAGAAUGAGAGGCAUUCUAUAUGUAAGGUAUCCUGAAGACCUGAGUCUCUGUGCUCAGUAUCUUCUAUGUUUUGUGGACAAGGAGUCUGAGGCUUAGCCUGAUUCAGAAGGUUAACCUCAGUCAUACUGUUGGUGUCAAAGGCAGAUUUAAACCUUGGUCCCUGGUUUAUAAUGUGACCUCCUGUCUCUAGGGUUCAAAAUAAAAUUGUAGUUUUAGUGUCACCAGAACUCUAUCAGGUUUGAGCACUUGAAAGGAUUGUAUUUCUCUUUAGUGAAAACCCAUGAGGCUGUCUGGAGCAGAGAAGCACAUGCUGUAAUCAGACCCCAGUGGAGUCUGGGUAUUGAGGAGGAAGAGCAGAGAGGAAGUUCUGCAUACCUAUUUGACCUAGCAUUGAGCAACAUCCUGAAUAUUUAUAUCUACCUGUCCUGUGCUUUGUUCAAGUGAAGUUGGCAGGAGCCCAGAAGAACUCUUCUAUUGUUUUCAGUCAAUAAGCUACACUGUAGACUGUGGCCACUUAUUGAAUUCCCGUUACACUCAACUUGCAUUUAUUUGACCUAGGAGGGUUUGUAGCAUGCUCUUGGCUCUAAUCUUUCUUUAGAGUUGCUGUGUGACUGACUCUCCGUCAGACUUAGUUAAAAAUUCUAAUGAUAUUGACUUUUUGGUAGACCCAAGGGGCUUAAGAACUGAUAGAAAAAGCAUAGGUUAAAAAACAACAACAACUGGCUACCAUAAAAAGCUAAAAUGUUAUGCUCAGGAUGCGAGGCUAAGCACUGCACUCAGGGUCAGCCGCUUUCGACCCAGAGAAGAGCAUGUCUGAUUGCAUGCGGGUUGAUGCCCCAGGUCCCGCCUCUGAGAAAAAGGUAUUGGUCGGGUCUGAUGCUUUUUAGGUGGAUGACACCUAAAUGAACAUCAGUACAAAGUCCCAAUUUAUUUCUAAUAUCAGAGAUCAGACCUCUACUCUUGCCUGAUGCUUCUAAAACCAAAAGGGGGAACUGUAGAGAGCUGCGUAAUGCCGCGCCUUAAAGAUGGAGCUGGUUUCUGCCUUCCACCUUCCCGAUGGUGAGUGCUCUCUGUCACAAACAACUCCAUAUUUGGCUAAGGCUGAGGAUCUGGCUUGCUUCCAUGUAUGUGGACCUAUCUGCAUUGCCCAUGUGGCACGCUGGGGUUGGCUACCCAGGGGCUAUUUAAGCUAUGGGAUGGCUUUCCCCAGGGUCAGAUGAUUGUUCAAGGUUCCUGAAUAAACUGCAUUGAAAAAAAAAAAAAAAAAAAGAAAGACAUGGAGAGGACAGGAGCUCCACAAGGAGAGCAACAGAAUAAAAAUUCUGGAAUUCUGAAAAAAAACAAAAACAACAUCAACAACAACAACAAAAAAAAAAACAGGAGGGUUAAUGUUUACUAAAUUCAAGACAUGAAUUGUAAAUUUAACAUCUCAUAGUAGUGAACAUAAUAAUGAAAUUAAUGGGCAUGUUUUCUGUCAUUCUCUCCAUCUCUCAAGCAUGUAAGAAUCCACUGUUUACAUGCAAUGGUGAUUAUUAAGUACUAGACAUAAUAGAGACACAUUAAUAACACAUGUUGGUCUUAAAUAAUAUAUGUAAAUCUUGACAAUGUCAUUCAGUUUGGGACAUAUAAAUCUUAAGUUUUUGCAAAAUUAGUGGUAUUUCCUUUUAAUAUCGUAUUUGCAUUUGUUUUAUAUGUGGUUGUGCCUAUUACCAUUGCUUAGCAUGAGCCUAGGUCACAUAAAUGCCCAAUAAGGCAUUUUUUUAACAAAAAGUUGACCCAUGUCUACUGCAUUUGUCCUUCUAAAUGAGGAUUGAGCAUCUUCCUUAGGGUCUUUCUUGUUUAGCUUCUUUAGGAGUGUAGAUUUUAGUAUGUUUAUCCUAUAUUAUAUGUCUAAUAGCCACUUGAGUGAGUAUAUACCACAUGUGUUUUUCUGUUUUUGGGUUACUGCUGUUUCUUGUUUCCAUCAUUUGCCUGCAAAUUUCAUGAUUUCCUUGUUUUUAAUAGGUGAGUAAGGACAAACAUGAUGCACAUUGGAAGCAGGAGAAGGCUAGAAUCAAAUAGAAGGGGAAGAGGAUCUCACCUUUCACUCAUAUCCAGUAUAUAUAAAGAACUAAAGAAGCUGAAAAGCAGCAAACCAAGUAAUCCACUUAAAAAAUGGGGAACAGAGCUAAACAGAGAAUUCUCUGUAGAGGAAUAUCGAAUGGCAGAGAAGCACUUAAAGAAAUGUUCAACCUCACUAGCCUAGAAAUGCAAAUCAAAACAACCCUGAGAUUUCACCUUACACCCAUGAGAAUGGCUAAGAUCAAAAACUCAAGUGACAACACAUGCUGGAGAGGUUGUGGAGAAAGGGGAACCCUUCUCCACUGCUGGUGGGAAUGUAAACUUGUACAACCACUCUGGAAAUCAAUCUGGCGCUUUCUCAGACAACUAGGAAUAGCGCUUCCUCAAGAUCCAGCCAUACCACUCCUGGGCAUAUAUCCAAAAGAGGCUCAAGUACACAAAAAGGACAUUUGCUCAACCAUGUUUGUAGCAGCUUUAUUUGUAAUAGCCAGAAGCUGGAAACAACCCAGAUGCCCCUCAACUGAAGAAUGGAUGCAGAAAUUGUGGUACAUGUACACAAUGAAAUAUUACUCAGCAAUGAAAAAUAAGGAAAUCAUGAAAUUUGCAGAUACUUUGCCUGCAUGUAUGUCUGAGCAUCUCAUGUAUGCUUCGUUCUCAUAGAAGACAGAAGAGGAUGUUGGAUUUUUGGGAACUAGAAUUACAGACAUUUGCAAGCUGUCAUGUGGGUGCUGGGAAUUGAAUCCAGUCCUCUGGAAGAGCAGCUAAGGAUAUUAACCACUGAUCCAUCUCUCCAGCCCCAAAUUGUUGCUACCUUAAAAAGUAGUGUUGCAGUAAAUGGUUUUAAUGUAUUUUAAAACAAACAUGAGGAUGUAUACAUUCUCAGUAUUACUGUAUAAAUAACUUCUGUAAGUCUAAACACAUUUUCCAACACAUGUGUCACUGAUGUAAACAUGUCUGGUAUUUCUCUUUUCAUAUUGUCCUUAGAAUCUAUUAAUGGGCUAAAAUUUUAAAACUAGACUUAUUUUUAUGGCAUAUCUUGGCAUGAGCUACACAUCAUUCAUUCAUCAUAUUUUCAUUCUUUAAUAAAAUCAAUUUUUUUCUUAAGUACCAA